rnacentral:lncRNA from 1 species
UCUGAUGGGAUAUAGGUAUAAGUGUCCCUUAGACUUGAGAUCCCCUCAGUGACUUGCAAGCAACUCACUGUGCUUUGGUACUGGACUAACUGAAUUUUUAAUUCAGGGAUGGAAGGCUUCUGGGCACAGUCAAGUACUUGCGAAGUCAGAGUGUGAUCGAGAUGGGAUUGACCACUCCAAGAGUUGGAGAAGAAUGAGUCGCUGUAUUUCAAUUUAGCAAAAUCUUGGCCAGGGUAAUUCAUUAGAUGGAUUUGAUAUUUUGAAAUACAAUGUGGACAACCUGAUCAGAGUUGACACUUGAACUCUGGGGUGUCCUAUGAUCAUUUUGGUCAAGGGGAUGAAUUAUAUGAAAACUAUAUCCGCAUGGGUUCUAAGGAUGUUGUUCUACACAUUCGACCUAUCCGAUCGUCGGGUACCAUUGCUAGAUGGUCACUUCGAUUGGUAUAUGAAUUUAUUCCUGUGCUACCAGCUUAGGUUUGGACCUAUGAGGUCACACACAUUAGAGUUCAUGAUCCGAUCGGAUGGUUGAUCAACGAUUAAGAAUCAUUCUAGGGUUAAAUGAUCAAUACGAUUGACAUUUAACCCAGUCCAAGUGUUGCAGGAGGAUCGAUUAGCAAUUUGAUUGCUAAUUGACUUAAUUUGAUUAAGCCAAUGGGCUGAGAUUA